AGAGUUUGAUCAUGGCUCAGAACGAACGCUGGCGGCAUGCCUAACACAUGCAAGUCGAACGGGAUCCGGACUUCGGUUCGGUGAGAGUGGCGGACGGGUGAGUAACGCGUGGGAAUCUGCCCAGUGGUGGGGGAUAACUGCGGGAAACUGCAGCUAAUACCGCAUGAGCCCGAGAGGGGAAAGAUUUAUCGCCAUUGGAGGAGCCCGCGUUCGAUUAGGUAGUUGGUGAGGUAACGGCUCACCAAGCCUACGAUCGAUAGCUGGUCUGAGAGGAUGAUCAGCCACACUGGGACUGAGAUACGGCCCAGACUCCUACGGGAGGCAGCAGUGGGGAAUAUUGGACAAUGGGGGCAACCCUGAUCCAGCAAUGCCGCGUGAGUGAUGAAGGCCUUCGGGUUGUAAAGCUCUUUUGCCAGGGACGAUGAUGACGGUACCUGGAGAAUAAGCCCCGGCUAACUUCGUGCCAGCCGCCGCGGUAAUAC
rnacentral:rRNA from 1 species